rnacentral:rRNA from 1 species
AUGGCUGCAGGUGGAGCACCUCUUCUUGUUGUUGUUGUUGUUUUCUCCAUGCUGAUCACGUCUUCCCUGGGGGGGCCGAGGCCUUUAUGCAGCGAGUGUGAGACGCAAUGCCGUACCAACUGCACCGCGAUGGUUGAAACCUCCUGCAGGGGUUACUGCACCAGUGGUGGCGGACCUCGAUCGAGCUGCAGGAAAUACGUCUUCGAGGAUUGCAACGUAAAGGGUACCUGCUGCAGUAGCAACGGCACAUGCACUUGUGACUGCAACACUGUGGCUGAAAGGGGUUGCAUGAGCGUCAGCGACGGCACCCUACAAUGUGACCCUUGCAAGCGCAGCAUAUACGACCAGUGCGGUUCCACCUGUAGGAAUGACUGCAACAACAACUGCAAGAAGAAAGGGUGCCGCCAUGAUUAG